GUGGGGUAACGGCCUACCAAGGCGAUGACGGGUAGCGGGUCCGAGAGGAUGAUCCGUCACACUGGGACUGAGACACUGCCCAGACUCCUACGGGAGGCUGCAGUCGAGAAUCUUCCACAAUGGGCGAAAGCCUGAUGGAGCGACACCGCGUGCAGGAUGAAGGCCCUAGGGUUGUAAACUGCUGUCACGCUAUAGGAACCCACGGUCGUUAAUAGCUUCCGUGCUGACCAAAGCGAGAGGAAGCGCCGGCUAACUCCGUGCCAGCAGCCGCGGUAAUACGGAGGGCGCAAGCGUAGUUCGGAUUUACUGGGCAUAAAGAGCACGUAGGCGGCUCGCUCAGUCGGGUGUGAAAGCCCACGGCCCAACCGUGGAACUGCACCCGAUACUGGCGAGCUCGAGGACGGAAGGGGUGAGUGGAACCCCAGGUGGAACGGUGAAAUGUAUAGAUAUCUGGAGGAACACCGGUGGCGAAAGCGGCUCACUGGUCCGUCUCUGACGCUGAGGUGCGAAAGCUAGGGUAGCGAACGGGAUUAGAUACCCCGGUAGUCCUAGCCGUAAACGAUGGGCACUAGGCAAUGAGCCCUCCUAUGAGGUUCAUCGCCGGAGCUAAUGUGUUAAGUG
rnacentral:rRNA from 1 species